GCUGUACACUGCUGGGGGCCCCACUUUCCAAUGUUUACUUCUGAGAUUGGAAGAAGAAGACAAGAAACACCUCCUCACCCCCUACCCUCUGCCUCCACGCCCGCGACUCAGCCCAGGUGACCCAAACGGCAGAGUCAACUUGGCGCAACCGGAGCGUCCCCAUCGCGCCGGCCACCCCCAGCCCCCUUCGCCCCUCGCUUGGCCCCACAAUGCGCCGUUGUGCCGCGCCUGCCGUCAGGCCGGGGAUUUGGAGCAGGGAUGGGGGGAAUAUUCGUCAGAUAUUUAAAACAGAGCCGAGAGAACAAAGCAGGCCUUUGUGCAGCAGGGCGGCCCGGGAGCUGGGAGCCGCCGGCCCCCAAGCACUGUGCUGGGCCAGGAGAGUGCGCAUGCGCGCGGCGACCUGUGCGCUCGGGUUCUGUGCCGGCUUUUACCCCAGCUGAAUAACCUGGUGGUCACAAGAAAGCAAAGGGAUUUUUAUGUGACAUCAUCUUGGCAAGAAGCUCCCUUACCAACCUUGACCUCCAGGUCUCCAUGGCAACUGCUGCUGGGACAUCAUUGGCACCAGAUUGUGUCCCUUAAAGGCCACACUGCAGCAAGGGCAGAUAAACAAUUUCAUGGCAACAGUCACGUAGCAAUCUCAUUCUUAAAUGUGGGCUGGUUAGUUAGGAUGAUGUAAGUGGUUUUUUCCACUCUCUUCCGCAUUCUGACUCCAGAAUUCUGGGCCUAGGACAUAGUCAAAGAAUGUACCUUGGGGUAUGAGGUAAGAAAACAGGCUGGGGUGGGACUUGAAGAAGUACCUUCUUCUAGACACAGGGACAGAUUCUUUUUCCUUUCCCAGUUGAGAGUUCAUUUUCUGUCUCGGUUCAACAAAGGCAUGUUAUCUUUAUAUAAAGGAAGCUGUAAUAGACAGUCUCCAAGAUGGCAGCCUUUAGUUCUUUCCCUCCUCAGAUUCAUGAGCUGCUUCUCACCUCUUAAAUCUGGUCUACCUAUAGUGACUUGCUUGACCAACAGAAUAUGCUAGGAGCAACAUUCUGGAACUUCCAAGGCUUGGUUGUAAGAAGCUUUGCAAUAUCUGCCUGGAUCUCUUAGAACCUUCAAUAUGGGACACUUGCUCUAGAAAUCAGCCACCAUCCUGUGAGAAGUCCAAGCCACAGAGUGAGGCCAGAAAUAGUUGCUGCAGUCAAGAGCCCCAGCUGAGCUCUCAGCCAACAUUCAGCAUCACUGCCAGCCAUGUGAGUGAGUGAUGGUGACCUUGGAUGUCCAGCUCAGUAGAACCUUCAGAUGAUUUCAGCCCUAGCCGUUCCAACUGCAAGACAUCCUGAGUGAGCUGAGCCCAGUCAACAGAGAUGUGAGAGAUAAAAAUGCAUUGUUUUGAGACACUAAGUUUUAGAGUGUCUGUUGUGUAGCAGUAGGUAGUUCAAGAGGAAUGAAAUGCUAGAUGGGGUAUGGAAGAUAGGAGAGGACCUCCUGAUAGCUCAGCUACUUUGAAAGGCUUUAUUUAUCAGGAUUUUUUGCCCCUGCAUCCCACCAACACCAUCCCUGCUUUCUGAGCUGUGCCUGGCACACUGCACCACACAAACCUUGCACUGCUCACUAACUGUGCCAUGUAUAUAAGCCUCCUCAGCCCGAUGGUGGACACCUUGAAGAUAGGGACCUAUAUGAUUUGAUUCCUACCCUCCUUAGCACUGACAGAUUUGUCAAGCUGUUCCAGUGGAUAAAUACGGGGGAUAACUGCUGGAACAGCAUCUUGAGGUGUUUAUAUGGCUUGGCUUCUGAUCUUUGACAUUUGAUAACUGAUGAACAUGCUAUUUGGGCCCACCCAGGAGCCAGCCACACCAUGGGGGAGUCUGAACCUCACCCACACUGUGGCCACUCAGGGGAAGGAGACCAGGGCCAAGAACGCAGUUGCUAACCUCCUGCUUAGAUUUGCUUCUUGCGGGGCAGCCCUGGAAACCCAAAGAAGAGCUAAAACUGUGUGGAUGAGAGAAAACCUUCAGAACCCAUUCAUAGAGAUACCAGGAGCAGCUGAGAACCCAUUGUAGGAAGGACACAUGUUCAAGACCUCCCCCAUCUGCCCAUCUAGGGACAUGGAUGUUUAACAUGCUAGGGUCAGAAGUGGGAACAUAGGUCAGCUUGAGUAGAACCUGGUGCCUGUGCAGGAACCCUGCCUUCUGUGGGCCCAGCUACUCGGGAGGCCAAAGAGGGAGGAUGGCUUGGGUCUGGGAGGUCGAGGCUGCAGUGAGCUAUGUUUGCACCACUG
rnacentral:lncRNA from 1 species